rnacentral:rRNA from 1 species
CGAUUAAGCUCCUUCGGGAGUGUAUAGAGUGGCGAACGGGUGAGUAACACGUGGACAACCUGCCCUUUGGCGGGGGAUAACCGUUGGAAACGACGGCUAAUACCGCAUGUGGUUGCCAGGCUUCGGCCUUGGCAAAGAAAGGCGCUUCACGGCGUCACCAGAGGAUGGGUCCGCGCCCCAUUAGCUAGUUGGUGUGAUAACAGCGCACCAAGGCAUCGAUGGGUAGCCGAGCUGAGAGGUUGAUCGGCCACACUGGGACUGAGACACGGCCCAGACACCUACGGGUGGCAGCAGUAGGGAAUCUUGGACAAUGGGCGAAAGCCUGAUCCAGCCAUGCCGCGUGAGUGAUGAAGGCCUUCGGGUUGUAAAGCUCUUUUCUGAGGGAAGAAAUCUAGAGUGAGGAAAUGCGCUUUAGUUGACGGUACCUCAGGAAUAAGGAACGGCUAACUCCGUGCCAGCAGCCGCGGUAAUACGGAGGUUCCAAGCGUUGUUCGGAAUUACUGGGCGUAAAGGGGGCGCAGGCGGACAGGUCAGUGGAAAGUGGAAGCCCGGGGCUCAACCUCGGAAGGCCUUUCCAUACUGCCUGUCUUGAGUUCGUGAGAGGAGAGUGGAAUUCAGGGUGUAGCGGUGAAAUGCUUAGAUAUCCUGAGGAACACCAGUGGCGAAAGCGACUCUCUGGCACGAAACUGACGCUGACGCCCGAAAGCGUGGGUAGCGAACGGGAUUAGAUACCCCGGUAGU